AAAUACGAUACGAUGAUGCUAUCUCGCGC
rnacentral:sRNA from 1 species